rnacentral:rRNA from 1 species
UAACGGCUGAACCAGCAAUUUGGAAGAAUGUAUAGCGAUAGCUAGUUGCAUAAUACUAUUAUGUAAUAUCAACUGCGUUGAAUAAAGUUCUUGGUAAAAUUAGAUAAUGACUUUUUUUACUUAUGUGUCUUGACCAAAAUACGUGCCAGCAGUCGCGGUAAUACGUAAAAGACUAGUGUUAUUCAUCAUUAUUAGGUUUAAAGGGUACUUAGACGGCAGAUCAAGCCUUAGUAGGAACUAGUUUGCUAGAGUUAUUUAUGAAGGGGCUGGAAAGUACUAAUGGUGUAGAGAUGAAAUGCUUAGAUACCACUUUUCGGAAGAAAAUUAAUGGCACAGGUAAAGGCGAAAGCAUCCCCUUAUGAAAUAACUGACGUUGAAGGACGAAGGCUUUGUAUCGCGAAUAGGAUUAGAUACCCUAGUAGUCAAAGCAGAAAAUUAUGAGUGUCAUAGAUUAGAUAUAGUUUAGUCUAUAAAUGAAAGUGUAAGCACUCCACCUUAAGAGUAAAAUGGCAACAUCGAAAUUGAAAUCAUUAGACCGUUUCUGAAACCAGUAGUGAAGUAUGUUGUUUAAUUUGAUAAUCCGCAAAAAACCUUACCACAACUUGAAUAUUUAUAUCUUUGAUAUAUUUACAAGCGUUGCACGGCUGUCUUCAGUUAAUGUUGUGAGAUUAUGGUUAGAUUCAUGAAAUUAACGCAAGCCCUUUCUUUAUUUUUAAAUAAAGUAGUUCCCCGCUAUAUUGGAUAAGAUAACAGGGAUUAAGACAAGUCAUCAUGGCCUGAAUGUUGUGGGCUAUAGACGUGCUGCUUAGGCCAUUACAAAGGGAUGUGUAAUUGUAAAAUUAAACUAAUCCUUAA